GUCAAAACACGAAAUUACAAUGGAAUUUGUAUGAAAAAGCACAGUGUGAUGUCAUAGAAAAACGUGUCAAAAUGUCGCACUUAGACGAUUUAUGACGUCAUUGCCUCGAAGAAAUGCACUUUCUCUCAUGGCUGUGCAAGCCAAUCCUAGAGCGGCAAACUCUACCGCACACUCUCACAAAAAAUCACAUCAGAAUGUGUGUUUAUGAAAGCGACUGCCUGUCUGACCUUCCAACCCGCGAAGGGAAAUCCAGCCUAAUACAG